GGGGCCGUGGUCCAGCUUGGCUAAGAUUCGCGCCUGGGGCGUGCGAGGUCGUGGGUUCAAAUCCCACCGGCCCCACCA
rnacentral:tRNA from 1 species